rnacentral:rRNA from 1 species
CACGCCGUAAACGAUGGAUACUAGGUGUGGGGGGACUGACCCCUUCCGUGCCGGAGUUAACACAAUAAGUAUCCCACCUGGGGAGUACGGCCGCAAGGUUGAAACUCAAAGGAAUUGACGGGGGCCCGCACAAGCAGUGGAGUAUGUGGUUUAAUUCGAAGCAACGCGAAGAACCUUACCAGGGCUUGACAUCCUACUAACGAAGCAGAGAUGCAUCAGGUGCCCUUCGGGGAAAGUAGAGACAGGUGG